UAGCCGUAAACGAUACUCGCUAGGUGUCGGCCACGGUGCGACCGUUGUCGGUGCCGUAGGGAAGCCGUGAAGCGAGCCACCUGGGAAGUACGGCCGCAAGGCUGAAACUUAAAGGAAUUGGCGGGGGAGCACAACAACGGGUGGAGCCUGCGGUUUAAUCGGACUCAACGCCGGGAAUCUCACCGGAUAAGACAGCUGAAUGAUAGUCGGGAUGAAGACUCUACUUGACUAGCUGAGAGGAGGUGCAUGGCGUAGUCGUGU
rnacentral:rRNA from 1 species